UCGCGCUAGGUGGGGAGUUAGCGGUUCCCUGAACCCGACAUCCGCUCCAGCGGGACCGAACGCCGUCCGAGGGCGGCUUCAACGGGAUCAGGUCUCGCGCACGUGGUGUCGAUGGUCAGGUUCCGCGCACUGGGAGCAUCCGAACCGCGUCAGGUCCGGAAGGAAGCAGCGCUAAGGAUUCCCUCCCAGGUGCCGCGGCUCCGCCUGACCGGAGCAGGCGACGCGAUCACCCCCCGAGGAAGCUUCUCGACGACAGGCCCGCGCGA
rnacentral:SRP_RNA from 1 species